UGUAGCUCACGAAAGCUUAUGCUCAAAUAAAUUGGUUAGUCUCUAAGGUGCCACAAGUACUCCUUUUCUUUUUGCAAAUACAGACUAACAUGGCUGCUACUCUAAAACCUGUCGUUUGAAAAGAAGUAGUGUAAUUUACAGUUCAGACUCAGAGUACAGUAGGAGCUUAUCUGAACCCACUCUGUCUUGAUUACUGUUCUUUGUGGGCCCCUUCUCUGCAAAAAUGCUCGUCUUCUGAGGCAAAUCAGUCAUCAAAGUAACUGAGGAUUGGCAUUAUGACUCGCUGAGAGAAUAAAGUGUGGAGCUGGCGCUCAGGGCGGGGGCAGCACACAGAACCUUGUGGCCCCUUGCCUAGAAGCCGGACCCACUGCUUAGUACAGUACAGGCCUUAGCUGGGCAGCACCGCCAACGGGAUUUUUAACAGCCUGGUCGGCUGUGCUGCCCAGAGCAACCCAGUGCCUUACAUGCCGUGACCCAGUACUGGGUUGUGACCCGAACUUCGAAAAACGCUGAUCUAUGCAGCAGUUUUGAUUGGCUGGUUGAGGGUUUGAUUCCUUUUAUUCCUCUGAUUUUUAUAGUUGCACCCUUUUGCCCUCUUCCCUCCAUUUGGGGACCACCUUGUCCAUUUCCGCCAGACUUGGGAGCGGAUCACUAUGGACUAGUGGAUCUUGGAGAUCAUAACAUUGGACUGCGCCAUCCACUUUUUGACCCUUUCCCCACCUCUCUUCAGGCCUGCCUCUCACGAACUUCUGCUAAAACAGGAGGUGGACUCUCUUCUCCAGCUAGGAGCGAUAGAGCCAGUUCCUUCUCCUUACAAUGGCAGGGGGUUCUAUACAAUAUACUUCCUAGUACCAAAAUAGGACCGAGGUUGGAGGCUGCUCUGAGGUAGCUGAACAAGUUCAUGAAGCCUCAAAAGUUCAGGUUGGUGAAUCUAGCAGCUAUAAUUCCUACACUAGAGGAAGAGGAUUGGUUUUCGUUCCUCAACCUACAAGACACUUAUUUCCAUACAGCCACACACUGAUCACACAGCAAAUACCUGCAAUUCGCCGUGGGCCAAGAUAAUUUCCAGUACGGAGUGUUCCUCUUCAGUUCCAAGGGUGUUCUUGAAGUUUCUAGCCAUAGUGGUGGCUUGUCUUCAUUUUCCCAUAGCUCGACGAUUCGCUUCUCAAAGGCUGCUCUUUCGAGACAGUGUUGUCAUCCACUCAGAAGGCUCUUGCUCUGUUCUGAGAAUUGGACCUACAGCUGAACAUAAAGAAAUCCAUGUAAGUACCAAUGCAAGGAAUUCAGUUUAUUGUACUCGGUGACACCUAGAGCAUACCUUCCUUUAGACAAAUUUUAUGACUGUCAGGACUGGAGGGAUGAUUCAGGGAAACUCUGACAUCAAUAAGGAACUAUCUUCAACUCCUCAUGGCAUAUGGCAGCAUGUACCUUUGUUAACAAUCAUACAAGGUUACACCUCUGCUGCUUCAAAGGUUGGUUGAGAACUGCCUAGUCUCUGACCAGGGACGUCUUGGACACCCCCUUGCACAUAAAGAAUUCCCUGAACUUUGAACAAAGCAACUCCACAUCUGCAAGGCUGUCCCUUUCCACCUUCCAGACCUGUCAGUGACUCUAACAACUGAAAUAUCCCUGUUAGGUUGCGGAGCCCACCUUGGUACCCUGGUAGUUCAAGGCAGAUGGAUGGCCCACAAACUAGUCUCCGCAUCAACCUGUUGGAGCUCAGGGCAGUCAGAAACACUUGCCUUCAUUUCCUGCCCUUCAUCAGGGCAAAGCAAUCAGGGUCAUGAUGGACAACUUUUCCUGCAUGUUUUCCAUCAACAAGGAGGGAGAGGCAAGAUCUCCCUCCUUGUGCGUCAAAGCUGUAAAAUUCUGGAACUGGUGCAUAGCCAACCACAUCCAGAUUUCAGGAGUCUACAUUCCAGGCAUCUGGAACACCACUGUAGAGGCCCUCAGCAGACACCUUUUUCCCAUGACUAUGAAUAGGAGCUGGACAUGCAGGUCUUCAAAGACAUAUUCCAGAGAUGGGGAUGGCCAGAGAUAGAUCUUUUCAUCAUUUCUGAAAACAGGAAGUGUCGUCUUUUCUGUACAAGGGGGCAUUUGGGUCAGCUCUGCCUGAGGGUGCCUCUCUUCUACCUUGGAAGAAGUCUGUUUUGUGUCUUUCCCCUGACACCUCUAAUUCUAAGGGUGAUAAGAUCCGGCAGGUCAAGGCUGGAGUUUUUCUCAUAGUACCUACCUGGCUGAGAUAAGCUUGGUACCCUUUCCUGAUUCAGCUGUGUGUCUAACUGCCAGUCAAGCUCCUGACCUUUCCUCAUCCCCUGUCUCGGACGUGGAGUGUGCUUUACCACAACCUGGCAGCUCUCCAUCUCAGAGCAUGACUCCUGGAUGGUUCUUAGUAAUAGAGGUGAGAGGAGUGUGAUCAGACAGUAGUUGCUCAGUUCUUCUGGAUUGCCUUUUUUCAUCAAUAGUAUUGUUUUUGAUUUCUUCCAUGCACCUCGAACACGCUUUCUAUUGAUGUAAAGAUGGUGAACUGUUGCGCCAAUGCUUUGAAGAGAGCAACUUCCCCUGCUUUGAGAUACUCUGGCCAAACAUCGUCCACUCCCAGACUCUUCUCUCUCUUUUUAUGUUACGAACUGCGUAUUCAGUUUCUUCCUACAUAACGUUGGGAACUUCUUCUGUAACCUGCUGCCUUGAUGGUGUAUGCUGGUGUACAGUGUACUCAUAUGGAUGCUACUCAAAAAGGAGGAAACAUUGCCUUGUGCAGUAACUGUAGUUCUUCAAGAUGUAUGUCCCUACGGAUGCUCCACUGUUGCCGUCCUUUCCCUCUGCUUCGGUUGUUCCUUAGAGGAUUUUCUUACUUAGUAGAGAAAAACUAAGGGAGGUUUGCGAGCACACCCAUGUAUAGCCUCGGUGUCUGCCAUGAGGAGGCAUAGGGCAUGUGUGAAGGCUGAACAGGCAGUGCUAGCUAGAAAUCUCCAAUCAAGGGCACGAGAGGCAAAUGUGCAUCUGAGGUGAAGCACCCAUAGAGAGACACAUCUCAAAGGGUACGUGUGUGUGUGUGGUCCUAUGUAUUAAGAGAAACUUUCUUUUCAGUGUAAAGUAAUUGUUUGAAAUACGUUGGAAAGGCUCUGGGUGGGGAUGUGGCUACAUUGACACAUUUUACCCUGAGUAGUAGGCUCAGUCCUUGAGCUAGCUGGAGUUAGUAAAUUAGCUGAGACUUGUUUUAUAAUUUCGUAUAAAUCUGAAAUAGCUCUUGGCUACAUUUACUUUUCUUUGUUUGUGUUUAAUGCUAAAACCUGUUUUGUUUAAAAAAAAAAAAAAAAAAAAAAAAAAAAACUUGAAAAUUUGAAACA